AAGAAUCCAGUUUUGCUGAUCACUGUGUGCAUUCUGUUCUUCCCCCAGGAGAAAGCUUUUAACGACAUCCUCACCAACAAAGGCCCCGAGCUGCUGAAAGAUUUGGAUGCUUUCUUAGGAGACAACAAAUGGUUUGUAGGGAAAUCUGUAACAUGGGCUGAUUUCUACUGGGAUGUGUGCAGCACAACGCUCCUGUCCUAUAAAGCUGACCUGGCAGACAAGUACCCCAGGCUGUUGGCUCUCAGGGACAGAGUGCAAGCACUGCCCGCUAUUGCAGCCUGGAUCCAGAAAAGACCAAAGACAGCAAUUUAGAUCAGCUGUUCACUGGAAAAACAAAUGCAUAUUUUUUGAUUUUCAAACAUUACAAAUGUGCUAAGUUAUUAAUUUUAGAAUCAUUUAAAUUAAUUUCAGGUGGGUGUGCAGGACCAAAUCAGAAUCUAGUAGGGUAGAGCCUGGGUAGAGGUGCUGUUCCAACUGCAUUCCCUUCAUCACUAAUAAAGUGUUUGAAAAACUCAGUUAAUGUUCUGUAGGUACUCAGAUGGAGAAACAAUAAUAAAUAUUACUGGCAGAUAUAAUCUCAA